rnacentral:misc_RNA from 1 species
CCAUCACCAAUGAACAUCUGCACACAAUGCAAGUUUAGUUACCUUAAUAUGGGGAACAGACAUCUAGAAUAACAGCACAAAAUAAUUGCUUCAUGGCAUAAGAAAUUUAAGAAUACGCAUUCCAAAGAAGCAGACGGUUAUCUCAAUCACCAAUCAUGUAUCCUUAUGUCAGUUUUAAAAAAUUCAAAUAUCCAUAGAUACAUGCAAAGAUUACAAGAAAAGAAUUGGAAUAGAUGAUGUAAGAUCCCUUGAAUCCUUAAGAUAGUCACUUAGAAGUGCUAAAUCUCAGUGGUUCUUUCAAAAGUUGAACAAAUUAAACAAAAAUAUAUUAAAAAAAAUGUGGUACUUGAACAAGUUGUGGGCCAGCCAAUUUUAGAAAAGUAGCAUUU